rnacentral:rRNA from 1 species
AUGAACGCUGGCGGCGUGCCUAACACAUGCAAGUCGAGCGGCAGCGAGGGGUGCUUGCACCCUGUCGGCGAGCGGCGGACGGCUGAGUAACGCGUGGGAACGUGCCCCAAAGUGAGGAAUAACUGCCCGAAAGGGUAGCUAAUACCGCAUAUUAUCUUCGGAUCAAAGGAUUUAUCCGCUUUGGGAGCGGCUCGCGUCGGAUUAGGUAGUUGGUGAGGUAAUGGCUCACCAGGCCGACGAUCCGUAGCUGGUCUGAGAGGAUGACCAGCCAGACUGGAACUGAGACACGGUCCAGACUCCUACGGGAGGCAGCAGUGAGGAAUCUUCCACAAUGGGCGAAAGCCUGAUGGAGCAACGCCGCGUGCAGGACGAAGGCCUUCGGGUUGUAAACUGCUUUUAUAAGUGAGGAAUAUGACGGUAACUUAUGAAUAAGGAUCGGCUAACUACGUG